rnacentral:sRNA from 1 species
CAACAAAUGCAUCGGUUUGAACUCUAUACACUGAAAACUAAAUUUUUCCAAUUCUUUGGGCAGGAAUUUGUCUAACAACAGGUUCAAUGGUUCCAUACCCACAUCUCUAAAGAAUAAAAGUAUUGAACUAGUUACAACAAAUAACUGCCUAUUGGGAAUGAAGUGUCAACCUCUAAGUGAUACUCCAAGUAAGGUUCUUCCAUCACCACCACCACCAGGACUUCAGUUUGUUUCAGGCGAUGAAGCUUUGGGAAGUGG